rnacentral:tRNA from 1 species
AUUUCUAAAUAGUUUAAAAAGAACAAAAUUUUGAAGAAGUUUAAGUAGUUA